rnacentral:rRNA from 1 species
UACGAGGGGUGCAAGCGUUGCUCGGAAUUAUUGGGCGUAAAGGGUAGGUAGGUGGUCUCGUUUGUCUGGGGUGAAAUCCUUGAGCUUAACUCAAGAAGUGCCCCAGAAACAGCGAGACUUGAGUACUGGAGAGGGUCGUGGAAUUCCCGGUGUAGCGGUGAAAUGCGUAGAGAUCGGGAGGAACACCAGCGGCGAAGGCGGCGACCUGGACAGUAACUGACACUCAACUACGAAAGCGUGGGGAGCAAACAGG